AGAGUUUGAUCUUUUUUCAGAUUGAACGCUGGCGGGAUGCCUUACACAUGCAAGUCGAACGGCAGCACGGGAGCUUGCUCCUGGUGUCGAGUGGCGAACGGGUGAGUAAUAUAUCGGAACGUACCCUAGAGUGGGGGUAUAACGCUUCGAAAGUUGCGCUAACCCCGCAUACGAUCUACGGAUGAAAGUGGGGGAUCGCAAGACCUCAUGCUCAUGGAGCGGCCGAUAUCUGAUUAGCUAGUUGGUGGGGUAAAGGCCUACCAAGGCAUCGAUCAGUAGCUGGUCUGAGAGGACGACCAGCCACACUGGAACUGAGACACGGUCCAGACUCCUACGGGAGGCAGCAGUGGGGAAUUUUGGACAAUGGGGGCAACCCUGAUCCAGCAAUGCCGCGUGAGUGAAGAAGGCCUUCGGGUUGUAAAGCUCUUUUGUCAGGGAAGAAACGGUGAGGGCUAAUAUCCUUUGCUAAUGACGGUACCUGAAGAAUAAGCACCGGCUAACUACGUGCCAGCAGCCGCGGUAAUACGUAGGGUGCAAGCGUUAAUCGGAAUUACUGGGCGUAAAGCGUGCGCAGGCGGUUAUGUAAGUCAGAUGUGAAAUCCCCGGGCUCAACCUGGGAAUGGCAUUUGAGACUGCAUGGCUAGAGUGUGUCAGAGGGGGUAGAAUUCCACGUGUAGCAGUGAAAUGCGUAGAGAUGUGGAGGAAUACCGAUGGCGAAGGCAGCCCCCUGGGAUAACACUGACGCUCAUGCACGAAAGCGUGGGGAGCAAACAGGAUUAGAUACCCUGGUAGUCCACGCCCUAAACGAUUAUAGUAGUUGUCUGGGAAAUUAAUUGUUUUCGUAACACAGCUAACGCGUGACGUAGACCGCCUGGGGAGUACGGUCGCAAGAUUAAAACUCAAAGGAAUUGACGGGGACCCGCCCAACCGGUGGUUGAUGUGGAUUAAUUUGAUGCUACGCGAAAAACAAUACGUACCCUUCACAUGUACGGAACAUCUUAGAGAUUAGAGGGUGGUCGCAAGAGAGCAGUCACACAGGAGCUGCAUGGCUGUCGUCAGCUCGUGUCGUGAGAUGUUGGGUUAAGUCCCCCAACGAGCGCAACCCCUCUCAUUAGUUGCUACGAAAGGGCACUCUAAUGAGACAGCCGGCGACAAACCGGAGGAAGGGGGGGAGGACGUCAAGUCCUCACGGCCCCUAUGGGUAGGGCUUCACACGUCAUACAAUGGUACAUACAGAGGGCCGCCAACCCCCGAGGGGGAGGUAAUCCCCGAAAGAGUAUAGUAGUCCGGAUUGUAGUCUGCAACUCGACUACAUGAAGUAGGAAUCGCUAGUAAUCGCGGAUCAGCAUGUCGCGGUGAAAAAGUUCCCGGGUCUUGCCCUCACCGCCCGUCA
rnacentral:rRNA from 1 species